rnacentral:lncRNA from 1 species
GUUUCCUCUUGGAAAGGCCGAGGAGGCUCCGCCACUCUCCUUUGGACUGGUCGCGCUGAAGCUCUAUCCUAGGGCACUGGUCGCAAGAGCAGAUGGUGCCACACGCUCCGGGCCUACAAACUUCAGCGGCUGCCGGGCCCGGGCCCCUCGUCUUUUGUUGGGUUUCCUCUUGGUGCCAGGUCUCAGCCCCUGCAAAAGAAAGCUGGCUUUGGCCGCGCGCAGUGGCUCGCGCCUGUAAUCCCAGCAUUUGGGAGGCCAAGGCAGGUGGAUCACGAGGUCAGGAGAUCAAGACUAUCCUGGCCAACAUGGUAAAACCCCAUCUCUACUACCAAUAGAAAAAUUGGCCGGGCGUGGUGGCAGGCGCCUGUAGUCUCAGCUACUCAGGAGGCUGAGGCAGCAGAAUCCCUUGAACCCAGGAGGCGGAGGUUGCAGUGACCCGAGAUCGCCACUGCACUCCAGCCUGCGGGACAGAGGGAGACUCUGUCUCAAAAAAAAAAAAAAAAAAAAAAAAGAAACGAAAAAAUGAAAGCUGGCUUUGUAUAGGUGCUGGGGAGCGCAAACACCUGGCCUCCCCAAGAGGCUGGAGGAUGAGGAGGGUCACCGACUGAGCCCACCUGAUAAGUGAGGCCUUUUAUUAAACAGCCCCAUUUGUAGGCACUUGCAGUUUUGUUUAGAAAAAGAAAGGUUUAAUUAUCAGAUGGUAACAUUUCUGUGUGUCAAUAACAAGCCCAGUUCUGCUACCUCUCACUUGUGCCCAAGCAAGUUGGUUUACCAUUCAUUUACCUCAGUUUCUCCUCGUGUGAAAUGGGGAUGAUAAUUGUACCGCAGUAAGAAGUAGAUUUCGUUACAUCUUUUACUUUUUGAACCAUAAGAUUGUUUAUCCAUUAAAAUGGUAUUAAAAUGCCCACUACGUAGGGUUGUUGUAUUGAGUAGCAACUAAAAAUUGCUUGCUCCUUUCUGAAGUAUAGAGAAACUAAGAAUCCUGCGGUGACCCAGGGUCUUGGAGUCCCACAAUACUCAUUGUCUUAUCAUCCAGUAGACCUCCAGCAUUUUUAAGUUGCUUUCUUAUCCCUUACUUGGUGUUUCCUAGUUUUCUUUGAGAUUUUCUCAA